CCAGCCCCGAGAGAAGAUGCAGGCUCAGCUGCUGUGUCAUAUGUGUGUCAGCAGGUGGCAGAGAGGGAGAAGCUAUGUCUACUCUCAGUGUUCUGACCUAUGAGCGUCUGAAUAACUAGUAGCCUAACAUU